rnacentral:piRNA from 1 species
UGAAAUAAGAGGCAGAGUCCAUCUCAGA